CAUAUAGUGAAAUGGACGACGAAUGUUUUACACAAUUUAUAAAAUUCCUGUUCAUUGAACCGAAUGUCGUAAACAAAACUGAAUAAACUACAUAUACCUUCUCACUGAAACGGAAAAGGAAUAGCUCUCUAUUUAGCAAAUAUCUGCGUUCAAAUUGCCGGAAGUACAUUUGUCCGAAGAGAGAUAUAAAAGGAGAAUACGAUGGAACCAAGGGGAUCCCAGAUAUCAUAUGAUAUCAGUACGCCCGCGUUAGACAACCGUAUGGAAACGAUGCUGGGCCUACAUGGGUUUGAAGAUCCUGAUGCUCCACUUACAACAGUCGAUAAAAUCAACUUUGGCAUACUUAUAACGAUUCUAUAUGCAUCAUUUAUUGUUUCGGUUGUUCUCACUUCUGUCUAUAAUAGUUAAUUCACCCAUUUAUUAUUUUGUUAAAUACAUUGUUCAUAUAAGCUUGAUUAAAUAUCUCAUAUUGUAA